UACGGGGGGGGUAAGCGUUGUUCGGAAUUACUGGGCGUAAAGGGCUCGUAGGCGGCCAACUAAGUCAGACGUGAAAUCCCUCGGCUUAACUGAGGACGUGCGGAAGAAACUGCAAGGCUCGAGUCCGGGAGAGGGGGGUGGAAUUCCCAGUGUAGCGGUGAAAUGCGUAGAUAUUGGGAGGAACACCGGUGGCGAAGGCGGCCCCCUGGACCGGAACUGACGCUGAGGCGCGAAAGCGUGGGUAGCAAACGGG
rnacentral:rRNA from 1 species